GGUUGACCUCGGAUCGGGUAG
rnacentral:rRNA from 1 species